UCGGUCCACUUCCACCCCAGUCACAAACGACCCCAUUUAAGUGCAAAUUUGAUCUCAGCCAUCGAGGUAAGGAGAUCAGACGACUGAGAAGUGAGGUCCCUUCAGUAUAAAACUGUCCAAAAGCUCACCCCCUAUCCCCCUCAUCUCGCAUCUCCCUCACACCCUUCAGAGAUCCCCCAAAACCCUAACCUAGCUGCCCUAAAUCCCUCAGCCCUUUCUGAUGGCGGAUUAGCCCGAAACCACAACAAAUCGACACCAAAAUACCUAAAUCUAUUCCACCUCCUAAUACUAAGUCCCCAAUCCAUUCAACUCAAAUCCUUUUGGAACUCCUUGAAUUUCAAAUCAAACAGUAGAACCCUAGCGCCGCCCUAAAAUUCUCCGGUGGCGGCGCCACCUCCAAUCGACCCCAAAUUCACACCAUAAGACCUCCUUCAUCUCCUCAUACCAAAUCACCAAUUACCUUCCCUCGAAUCCCUCUCAAGUUAUUUGAAUUUUGAAUUAGAGAACUGAGCCUAAUUCCAAACUCAAAAUCUUCGGACCUUUUGAAGAUUCUAG
rnacentral:lncRNA from 1 species